rnacentral:rRNA from 1 species
UACGGAGGAUGCGAGCGUUAUCCGGAUUUAUUGGGUUUAAAGGGUGCGUAGGCGGGACCUUAAGUCAGCGGUGAAAGUUUGAGGCUCAACCUUAAAAUUGCCGUUGAAACUGGGAUCCUUGAGUAUAUUUGAAGUAGGCGGAAUUCGUGGUGUAGCGGUGAAAUGCAUAGAUAUCACGAAGAACUCCAAUUGCGCAGGCAGCUUACUAAACUAUAACUGACGCUGAGGCACGAAAGCGUGGGUAUCAAAC